GUGAGAUCAUAAAUUUAGAACUAGAAGAGAUCAUAAAGACUAUAACUUUUCAGUAGAAGAAAAUGAGACCAAGAAAGUAAAAUUGCCUGCCAAAACAAGUAGACUUGAAUUCAAACCUAUAGCUUCUGACUAAAAAUCCAGGUAACAAGAGACCAUCAAAUAAGGGAAAUUCAUACUAAAAAGGGUACAUACCUUCAAGACAAUCAUCUCAGAGGCCACAGUAGGGACUAACAUGAAAUUCAUAUGCAAAAUAUCCUCAGGAAAAAAAGAAUAAGCUAAGAUGUCCAUUUGCCUAGCAGAUAGAUGCAUACCCAAAAAGCUUUGGACUUUCAACCUGCCACUGACUUAUAUCAUGAGACUUUUGCUCAAGGACUAUGUCUGAAUCAAGUCAAAAACAGACCACAAAGGAGCACAAAGGAGUUGACCUGCAAAGUGCCACAUAAGCACAAAAGCCUUACCAACAUUACCCUCAAUUGUCAACUUUGCCAACUUACUGGGUGUUAAUGUGCACUUCAGAUUUGUUUUUAUUUGAAUUUCUCUUACUAAUAGUGAAUUGAAACAGCAUGUUCUCUUUGUGUAAGAGUUCACAUAACUCAUACUUUCCUCAUCUAUCAUCUCAUUCAGGAUUCAGAUUUUCUCCUUCCAUCACGCUCCACCUCCAGUGGAGAAGGGAACAAAAGAGCCAUUAUACAGUGCCAAGAAACACAAGAUCAAGGAUAUCAACCAAUCCCAAUGGGACUGAUGAGAUUCUUCACAGUGCCUAGGAGCACAAGGUCAAAAGGACCAAAACAAUGCAGCAUAGCAACUUCCUGGAGUCUUGUCUACAAAUGGGUAAGUGAAAUAUUACUGCAUUUAAUCCUAUAGACUUUUGGGAUAGAAAAUACUUUAAUUGGAUGCUAAUACAAGGACCUGUUGUAAAUUUAUUAAAUUGAACUCUAAUAUAAGGGCCAAUUAUGAAUUUAUUCUUGUUUACUCAGAAAAAUUUUAUAGACAUAGAUUUUGGAUAUUUUGAUUCUGAUUUUGAAUUUCUCUCAAAAGAUUUAAUUUCUCUUCCCUUUGUUUUUCUCUUAUGUUUUUGGUUUUUCUUUUCAUAAUUAACUCAUACACCCCCUAACUCAACCAUGCAUCCUAAGCUGAACUUGGUGUUGGUCAACACCCUCUUCAGGGGAGAUUGUAUUUUCAUAAAAUUCCAAAAUUUAAAAUUUUGUUCAAGAAAAAAAUUUUCAGGGAAAAAAGGUUGCUAACUUUUUAAGUCCAGAAAAUGAACUGUUUGCAGAAAGAUGCCUGCAGAAACCUACACUGCAUUAGGAAGAUCCAGAAUGAACUUUGGGGUGAAUUUGAUUGAACUGAAGGGGGUUGAACAUUUAUUUUGAAUAUAUAUUCUUAUGUCAAAUGGGACAGCCCCCUAAUUGGUUUUUGUCAAUGUGCCCAACAAAACAUUGGUUUUGCU